UACAGCACAGAAGCUUUCAGCAACAUUGCUGCAACGUUACAAUAUUACGAGUUGCAAUGUAAUAUUGCAGAGGCGUUUCAGAAACAUGCAAUAUCAGUAUUACACCAAAAUGUUCCAGUAAUGUUGCAGAAAUAAUAUAAAAUUUCAAAAAUAUAAUAUUUAAAAGGUUACACGACAUUUUCCCGAAAAACUAGAUGAGAAAAUGUUGGUACCAGCAAAAUUCUCUAGGCAAAAUAAUUUUUCAAUUUCCACAGGUUAGUAACACUGUCGAAGUAGUAAAUCCUAGUUUGCGGAGUUGCUUUGACAUAUGUGCACGCAUAUGUGGCAAAUAAUAAAUAUCGAGUAAAUAAAUUAUGACAUUUAUUUGAAAUAAAUGUUAAAAUCUACACAAUUAAAAAUAAAAUACAUAGAGACAAGAUUUCUGAUUGAAAUCUGGUUCUCCGUAUUAAAAUCAUUGUCAGCCAAGAAACAAAAUCUGUGCAAAAUAAAAUAGAAGCC